rnacentral:RNase_P_RNA from 1 species
UUUAUUCUGUGAGGUAAAGUCCGGGCUCCUCCGGAAAAAAUGCCGGGUAAUAACCGGGCAGUUUUAGAAGUUCAUUCUAAGGCUGACAGAAAGUGCUACAGAAAAUUACCGCCUGUUUACAGGUAAGGGUGAAAAGGCAGGGUAAGAGCCUACCUCAGCUGCUGGCAACAGUGGCUGGCAGUAAACCUCAUUUGGAGCAAAAUCAGACAGCAGUUCGGUUUUCCGGCCUUAUGCUGCGGGUAGAUUGCUGGAAGCAUUUGGCAACAAAUGCUGCGGAUAGAUGACCAUACAUUUAGAAAUAAAUGUAACAGAACCCGGCUUACCGUA